UCACGAAAGUGGGCCGUACUAGAAGUCGGUGUGCUAACUCGCAAGAGAGGCAGUCCCGCCCCAAGGUACAGCUCAUGAUUGGGGUGAAGUCGUAAACAAGGUACC
rnacentral:rRNA from 1 species